AUUGAACGCUGGCGGCAGGCCUAACACAUGCAAGUCGAGCGGAUGAAGGGAGCUUGCUCCUGGAUUCAGCGGCGGACGGGUGAGUAAUGCCUAGGAAUCUGCCUGGUAGUGGGGGAUAACGUCCGGAAACGGGCGCUAAUACCGCAUACGUCCUGAGGGAGAAAGUGGGGGAUCUUCGGACCUCAGGCUAUCAGAUGAGCCUAGGUCGGAUUAGCUAGUUGGUGGGGUAAAGGCCUACCAAGGCGACGAUCCGUAACUGGUCUGAGAGGAUGAUCAGUCACACUGGAACUGAGACACGGUCCAGACUCCUACGGGAGGCAGCAGUGGGGAAUAUUGGACAAUGGGCGAAAGCCUGAUCCAGCCAUGCCGCGUGUGUGACGAAGGUCUUCGGAUUGUAAAGCACUUUAAGUUGGGAGGAAGGGCAGUAAGUUAAUACCUUGCUGUUUUGACGUUACCAACAGAAUAAGCACCGGCUAACUUCGUG
rnacentral:rRNA from 1 species